AAUCCAAGCCCAACUCCCUCUCUCCACCAGACCCAGUCCAAAUCCAAUUCUGACCUAUCCAAAACAAAUACCUCCAUUAGACCCCACUCCCCGGCCCAAUCAAAUCUAGUCCCUCCACCCAUGCAAUCCAAUUGAUAAACCCCUUCCCAUGCCCAACACUCCCACUCAGGCCUAACCACCAGCUACAUCUCUCUCUGUCUCACCUGCCCUACAUUGUUGUCACUGUUGUCCUCUCCUCCCUGUUCUUGUUUAAACAAUGUCUUUAUCCUUUAUUAUAAAUUUAUAAUUUUUUUAAGAUAAAAGUCUUGCUUUGCAUGGGCUGCCUAGCGUUUUAAACUUAGCACCUUAUAGUGCCCUGGCUAUUUUGCAAAACUGGCUAAAACUUUAUGAUCAACCCAAGUAUGAUCAGAGUUCAUCCUUCGUAUCUAGGUGUACCCUCCUCCAUUACAUCAUUUUAGAGUGAUCUAGUAAAGCAAUGAACAACAUCAAUAUCUCAAUUAGAAAGCCUCUUUUUUAAAUUCAAAAAGGCAAUGAACUAAAAUCACAAAAUGACAUGAGUACCCAUAAAUCUUGCACAAAAAGACAAAUCCAAAAACCUAAAGAGAUCUAAUUAGGAAGAAUAUGUGCAUACAAUAAGCUUCUAUAAUAAAUAAAAGACUCCCAAUCCUCCCAAAACACUGUAAUCAUCAAGGAAUCAAGUGAAGAACAAGGAUGUGAAGAGUCUGAAAUAUAGUAGUCCAUAGUUUUGCCUGCCAAGCUAAAGAUCGGUGAUACACCAACAAGAGCUCCUCACAAAAAAAUCUAAAAAAAGAAGCAGAUUCUUUCUAAUGGAUAUCUGGCAACAAUAAGCAAACUCAUAAUAGAGCAAUAAAAACAUUUUGAAAAAAAAAAUUGCACAAAGCUAUAGUGUGAUAUCAUCAUAUCAUGACUGACAAACAUCAUCAAUCAAUCAACAGCCUAAAGAAUUCAGGAAAAAGAUUGCAUUGCUGAAGUCAAAUGAUGGAGCAACAUUUAAGUACCUUGUAACUGAAUCCAAGACUUGCACAUGCGCAAGUUUAAGUAAAAUGAAAAGCUAUUUAUAUACCUUUUUUAGAUAAUUGAUGAAUAAAUUUAAAGAUAUGCACAAACAGUUACAUAUGGUUUUUUUCAGACAAAUAAAUUCUAUGAUUGAGUUUCUAAAUAUAUAAUGUGAUGGGUUUAACAAAAAGAAAGAUGAUCUAGUAGUUAUAUUGAGGUAAUAAAUGAUAAUGUAUAAUGGAUUUGUCACUAGUAUGAUUACAGGAAGAAUGUCUAAUCCUCUAUUAUUAAGUGCUUAUAUCAAAAUCAGCUUAAAAUCCUUAUCUUAUUACACUGAUAGUGGAUACAAGAAUUUGAAACCUUCGCUGAGAUAGCAUUGAAAUCUAAAGCAAUGGAAUCACUCACUUUCUCUAGAAAAAGAUCCUCUAUCACCAAUAACACCCACGCUCCUUGGUUCACUGACAACCCUGUUCAGCUGAGAAUACAGAAAGAGCAUGUCAAGACAGACCAAUACCAUGGAUAUUAUCAGCAAAACUGAAUAAUAUCAAUUUAGCUAACAUAAGCAGAUGUAAAACAGAAGGUACACGAGAUUUAUGCUAAUGAAAUUGUCUACCACUUAAACAGAAUGGUGUCCCUGUUUUUUUUAUCAACAAGGCACAAAACGAAUAUUACUCAUAAAAAAGAACAUAAUAACAGACUUUUCAUCACAAGUGUCACAAUGAGUAGUUUAGUUUUUAAUAGGAAUAAAUGAUAUGCACAAACCCAGUCUUAACUGAUCAGUAACCUUCAACUGAUCCAAGCAUAAUCCCAACUGAUCAUGGUCAAUUCUGUUAAAUCCUGUUAAAUCAUAACUGACAGCAGAGGUUCAAGUUCUCACAAAGGUUCACAGAACUGAUAUCCAAUAAGUCUAUAAAAUUAUAUUGAAAAAAUCAAAUAACUUAUAGAACACAAAUAUAUGUACUGUGAUGAAAAAUUUAAAAGAACAGUUAUAUGUAAUUAUCAAAUAUCAGUUAUACAAAAUUAUUUGUGCUAAUACAAUUCAUAUGACAAUUUUUAGGUAAAUACAUCACAUAGAUACAGUUCCGAAAAUGGUUAUAGAUGGAUGCAUCAUAUAAAUACAAUUUUAAAAAUAGUUUUAUGAAAGAAAUUUUCAGCCAGCUAGAUGGUCUUGAACAAUGUGGUACAUGGUUUAAAACACAAGCUGGAUGGUAUAUAACAACUAGUAUUUACCAAUUCGACUCAGUUCGGUAUAGGACGAUACAUGGAUAUAUCCAUGUUUUAUUUUAUUCAGCAGUAUCGAGCAGUACAGAUCGGUAUACAGUUCGAUAUCUUGGUACCUUACUGGUACAAUAGGUUGUUUAGUAUCAGAUCGGAUCGGUAUUAAAAUCUUGAUGUCAUGGGUCCAGCAUACAUUGCCUACCCUGCCCUGCGACCUUGACAGGGGAAAUUAAGCUUAAUCAUAAAUUAAUUCCCAUAGCUAGUAAUGAGACCCCCCUUUCCAUUCACCCUCUUCUCUCACUCCUUUUUCCACCAUAGCUAAGUCAGGCAAGUUCCAACUGAUAACCAAAAUAAGGCCAAAAAUUUAACAAACCCAGACCCAUGACUGGUCAGGAUCUACCAAUCAAACGAACUAGCACUUUAUGGGUCAUUCCUUAAUUUUUUUUGUUUGUUACCCAAUAGCAACAAAGGAAUUACUUCCCGAAUUUUCACUGUUCCCGACUACAAUGAGAAACUACCUUCUUGCCUACCAUAAUCAUCAAUUGCAGACCAAAAUAGUGCCCAUCUCCACCUUUACUAACUAACAAUUAAAAAAAAAUGUCUCUGCUCUCCACUGAUGGAAGACAUGAAAACUAGUACAUAUUAUACCCAUUACCACUACUUAUGAAUCAAACCUAUACCACUUACAAUCAAGAACUAUGGACUGCAUGCAGUAACAUUUUGUAUAAAAAAGGAAGAAAUCUAGCAAACUUUUUUAUAUGGUUUCAAUGUUAGAUUCAAAACUAGAUAAAUAAAAAAUAAAUAAAUAAUACAUUUAGUUUUAUGCACCAUACUUCCUCGAACCAACUACUAAUUGUUUGUCGUAAAGUAAGCAACCAACGCAUUUUACCCAAUUCUUCGAAUUCUUCAUCCUUCAAAUGUUCUUCGCACUUAAUAUAUGUAAUACAUGUAAUUGGUAACCAUACUGCCUAGAGUGAAAAUAAGACACAUUUUUAUAAUUCAAUCAUGACAUGUCAAAAAAAAUUCUGUCAGCGAGUAAAUAAUAAAAAAUUGAUAGGUAAAAACUUACCUUCCUAAAGGUGCUCUCAAGGUCAUCAAUCUCGGACAAGGAUCCUAAGCCUUCAAACUGCAAAUAUGGCAAAAAUAUAUAUCCCAAUUUUAGCUAUGAAAAUUUCCAGAAUCUAAAGCUUUUUUGGAAGAAUAUAUCAUGAGCUUAAACAAAGUGUAAUUUCCAUAAAGGAACUUUAUAUAGAUAGCAACAUGUAAAAACAAUGAAUCGAUCCAUAGUAUGAAACUUUAGGUGACAAUUUGUUAAAAUCAAAGCCACUACCAUAGCGUAAAAAAUGUACUUAAAUAAAAGAAGGGAAGAUGGAUCCAAGUAAAAAACAGAAUAAAAAAAAGGUUUAUACAUCAGAUCAAUAUGACUUCUUUAAAAAAAAAAGUUGAAUCUUGUUUACUUCAUAUUAAAUAUUGAAUCAUCUAGUGUUUAAGAUUGUCUGACAACUUUUAAACUAACAUCCACAUAAAGUUAUUCCUCUUUGGCUAUGUCUUAAAAGUCCUUAUUUAUAGCAAAUAAGGACAUUAUUCCUAUGUUUAAAUUUUAUUAUAUAUCAAAUAUUAUAUCCAGCAUUAUCAAGAAACCUAGAUCUUUCCUCCACCCAAUUAAUUUUACACAAAAAAUUAUAUUAAUUUCUCCUCCUAAUCAUUAUAACCACUAGUUCUAAUUCCUUUUUCAAAAGUGUUCAUAUAUUUCUAUAUGCUACUCCAAUUUUAUGGUCUAGAGCUAUUUUCUUUACCCAUAAAUAAUCCUAAACAAGACAAGUACUCAGGUUUUGCACCAUAUUUAGAUGCCCAUGUGAUAGGUUGUUAUCGAUAAUCUCCUAGCCCAUCUUUGCACUAUGGAGCAUCCAAAUGCUAAAGAUGACUCACAUCACUUCUAGGAGAUGAACAAGUGGUGCUAUAAUAUCAGUUAACAUCUAUGCCCAAGAAACCUGACAAAGUUUUAUGCAAGCUGUCAGUUGUGCAACACAAGCCCUCCUUUAUCCAUGCUUGCAACCAGAAAGGAAAAGAAUUUACUGAACUUCUGUAGAUAAAGGCAUGUAAAACAAAUCUUUGCAAACAAAAGGAACUGACCUCUCUAUCACUAACAGAAGGAAACUUGUAUUCCUCAUCAUCAAGGCCAACAAAACCCCCAUUACCAUCAUUAUCAUCAUCCUCCAGACCCCCUAACUCGACUUCCUCCAUGACAUCCUUACCAAAGAAUGCGUAUCGUGAGGCAUCAAAAAGAGAAUUACCUGAAGAGAUCAGAAGGCCAAGUUAAAAGUCCAAAAACUGCGUUAGUCAUGAUAAACAAUUGCAAGAGGCUAGAAGAGAACAGUUGUAUUAGAUAAUGAAUCAGAUAAAAAUGAAAUAACAACAAGAAUACAUAUUCCAGAAAAAUAUAUAUAUUAUAGUGGCAUCAAUAUUUGGUAGCAAGAAACGGGCGAAAAAGCAUAUAAACUGGAUUUAGUGAAGGGUACGGUACAUAAUGAUACUCAUGUCAGCUUUUAGUCAAAUCUCUGAUAAAAGCUACAGAUAAUAAAACGCAUUAAAAAUUUACUAUAAUGCGGUAUCGAGGAACAUACAUGCAGACACAAAUUCAUGCAGGAACUCAAGCACAACAAAAGCUUCAUGUUUUAAUGGAGAAACAUUCAGAUUGAUCCGCUGAAACUACAUCAGAAAAAUUCAAGCAUUUAUUGUCAUGCACAUCAGCAGCAAAGAAACUCAAGAAGAGAGCAUGGACUUACAGAUCUGCACCACUUAAACGCUCUCUGGUCACAUCGAAUGAGCAUAUCCAUAACAUAAAACUAUUCUCAACCAAGAGACGACAAAAUUUCAGCUUGCACGUAAAAUCGUUCCCAAACCUUCAAUUUACAGCCGCAACAACAAAUCUCUCCCCCAAACCCAAAAACCGAACAGCCAAAAUUCACGGAAUUAAAGCACCCCAAACGGAUCAAGUAUCACCACAACCACAGACGAAAACAAGAAGAAACAAAAGCUCACCGGCGGCGCCAUCGCCCGAUUCUCUGGCCCCGUCGUUAGGUUUAGGGCUUCCCUCGGCAUCGAGUCCCCUCAUGGCGCCCGGCCGCGAGCCGCUAACACCCGAAAGACCAACACCGACGGACGACGGAACCGAUCAACAGGACCAUAAAGAUGGAGCAAGGAUUACCUCCCUCGGAUCCGAGUCUAGGGUUAGGGUUCCCGGCGAGGUGAGAUCUGGGAGGGAGCAAACCUUGGUCGGUCAAGAGAGGACUGGCAUUUAACCUCCUCAUAAAUAAAUAAAUAAAUAGAAAAAAGAGGGGAGAAAUAAGCGAUCUAAAAGAACCGAAGUAUCAAAGUGUACACGGAGAGACUAUUAGUGCUGAAGUGGGUUGGCUUCUUUAUAUAUUCUCUCUCUUUUGUGAUCCUCUUCGAUCUCCCACACUAUUAGCAUAAUAAAUAGUGGGAUAGAAUAGUAGCGUGUGCUGUUCCCAAUCAUUCUCAUUUAUUCUUUUAUUUUUAAUUGAUAAUUAAUGAUACAUCAAACCAUGCUAAUAUAAGUAUUAUAGUAGUGUCUAUUGCAAUUAAAUUGUGCAGUGUAGUUGUGUUGUUUACUUGUUGAACCUUUAUUGACAUACUUGUGACUCAAUUAGAUUCUAAAUUAGAUCAUGAGAGUCUUGAGUAUAUUAUUUAUUUAUUAUUUUUAUUUUUAUUUUUAUAUAUUUUAAAAAUUAGGUAAGUGGGUAAUGGUAUCAAUAGUAUAUUUUUUUGGGGGGUAGAAUUGAAUUAGGUGAAGUAGAAUUAUGAGGGCUGGAAUAUUAUUCUUUUGGGUGGAGGCAUUGGUUAUGUCUAAUCAAUGUUUUAGCAAACAUGGGAAAUAGAUUGGUUAGGAUUAGAAGUUCAUAAUCACAAAAUAAAUAAUAAUGAACUUGGCAAAGAGAUUAAAAAAUUAUGGGAUAAAUAUGUAGGAGUUGUAGCUGCUUAUAAAAAACAAAAAUAUAUUUAGCAUGGGCAAAAAGCUGAUGCAUGCUGUUAACACCAAAAACAGGUCUCACACUGACUGCAGCAGAGUCCUCUUGUCUCCAGAAUUCUCAGACUUCAAACAAUGUGGGGAAAGAGCCUGGCAAUUGGACCCCCUCCCAUUUUUCUAAUCAGAAAUUAUUAUUAUUAUUAUUUUAAUGAAAACAUAAAUUAUUAUUUAUUUCACAACAUGAUUAUAAAAUGCAUCAUGUUCAUCAGAGCUUAUAGAAGAGAGAGAGAGAGAGAGAGAGAGAGAGAGAGAGAGAGACCAGUAGGCUAAUUUUGUUUGGUUCUAGCAAUGUUUCUGAGUCAAUUACUGAAUUGGUUUCAUUUCCUAAGCACAUUUGCUAUAUCUCUGCAUAUCUUUAAUUAUGUUCAAUACAUAUCAGCAUCAGAAUCAUUUCCAAAAAAAAAUUAACACUGAUUGAACAAAAGCCAAUAGCUUCACUUCUCUUCUAAUCAUCAUUCCUUUUUUUCUUUGAUUCAUGUUCUCUCAACUCUUUCUUCAGCAUAAUUCCUGGGAGGAAGGAGAGCAUUGUUGCAGUAUUUGCUUAUAAUUUUGAUGUCUUGUGAAUUCCAUUCCACUGCAUUGCUUGCACAUGAACAGCUGAAUCAAGUUUUCAGCACUACUUUAAGUCUAUUUAGGCAUCUAAAUUGUUGCAUUACUCUAUUCAUUUUCUGCACCUUUUUUUUUCCGACUGCUAUUAGAAAUAAUUAGCUAACACAACCAUUAACUUGAAAGCUAAGCAAAGUAAGAAGAAGCCUAUUCAUGAUUAUACAUUCUACAAACCAAGCAAUGGAAUGCUGAAAUCACCAACCUUGCAUUGUUUAACCCCAUAAUAGCACCAUUAAUUUAGUAUUUCCACCAACAAACUCAUUGUAUUAUUCUGAUUUAAGCUCUCAUGCCAUCACAUCAAAGCUAAACUAAAAUUUCUGAUCAGGGAUCAAAAUCACCCAAUUUAUCUGUGUCUGAGCUUAAUGAUAGUUAGGAGACAUGUUAGGUUAGGUUGAUAUGUUUGGCCCAUGCUAUGUUGGAUUGGGUUUAUACAACAUUGAUGCAGCACCUAACUAUGCACAACAGCUAUGGCCAGAUGAGUGUAUAUAUAAAGUCAUGAUUGUUUCCACUCUAAGCUACAAGGAUAUCUCUCCCUCCCUUCUCCUCCUCCUCCUCCUCUCUCUCUCUCUCUCUCUCUCUCUCUUGCUAUUGAGUGUAAGAAGAGGAAGAUGAACACUAUACUGAGGAAGUGCAAGAGCUUGUCAAAGCUAGGGAGGAGUUCGUCUUACAGUAGUUUGAGGUCGAAAUCCACGAGAGAAGAUGAGUUGUGGCCGGAAGACGGCGCUGCAAUCAGUGCAGACAACGGCGCCGACGAGGUGGCGGUGUUCGUGGGGAGAUCGAGGCGGCGGUACUUGGUGAACUCGAAGCACCUGAAUCACCCACUGCUGAGUGCGCUCAUCGAUCGAUCUAAGCUCGGUGAGAUACGCAUCAAGUGCGAGGUUGUGCUGUUCGAUCACCUGCUGUGGAUGCUGGAGAACGCGGAGCUCGACGCGGCCGACGACGCCGCGACGCUGGAGGAAUUGGCCGAGCUCUAUGCAUGCUGAGGCGUUUUGGAUGAAUUAUUAUGAGAUAUAAAACUAUAUAUACAGAUAUAAUAUUGUUUGAAUUCAAUUCGGUCCUAAUUAACUUGUGAUCAAAGAGGUUUGAUAGAGCUGCAAAAACAAGCCUAUCCGCAUCUGUUUUGUUCAUGUGUUGCUUGCAGUAUAAUAAAGUUCGUAAUGCUUCCAGUUCAUGUGUUGCCUUGAUGACAUUGUUGUCUUUUUGAUUCCAAUUAGGGCUAUUUGAUUUCAUAUGGACUAUCCCAAAUAGUUCAAAUAAAUAUGUUUGGAAAUAGACAUGAGAAUUUUCUUGAUUUAUUUAUUUCUCUGAUUUUUAUUUUUAUUUGUGAAAAAAAGAAAUAUAUUAUUUAGUAAAUCAAUAAAUUGAUAUAAAUUAUUUUAUAAAAUAUAUUUUUUUUUUCGAAAAAAUCUGUGAGAAAAUUCGAUAUAAAGACAUUAAUUUCUAAUUUUUUCCUUAUUUAUCUGGUUUUGUUUUCUUUUUCUUUUCGGUGUAUUUGUUCGACAGUGUUAACUCGAUAGCAUGCGUUGGGUAACCCGAAAGCUGUCUCCUUUGAUGUAGUUGGAAUACAAAUCAAAAGAACAGCUCCUCCUACCGCCGCCAGACGUCGUCGACGAAUCCCCUGCUUGGAAGACAUGGACGCCGCAGGGUUGGACUCGGAAGGGCGAGGGUUCGCGAGCGCGAGGGAGAUGUGGAGAGAAGAGAUCGGCAUCGGAGAGGAAGGGGAGGAAGCGGAGAACGGCGCCCCCUGCAAACGCCGUGACUGGUAUCAGAAAGGCAUCGCCUACUGGGAGGUAAUCGAAUUCGCACCCAAUUAGACACCGGUUCCCCGACGUUUCCGCUUUCUUGUUCCGAUGACCUAAUGGAGGGCUUCUCUUCCGCUCGUACAAGGGAGUGGAGGCCUCUGUGGAUGGUGUCUUGGGAGGGUACGGGCACGUCGACGACGCCGACGUCAAGGGAAGCGAGGCCUUUCUUAAACCCCUCUUGCUCGACCGCUUUGGAAGCGGCGCACGCCAUCCUGUGGCUCUUGGUAAACCUCUUUCAUGCCGCUCUUUUGCAGUGAACAUGUCUUGGAAAAUGCCCGUGAGGGAAAAUUUUGACCUUGCUCGGAAUAAUGAUGGCCUUAAUAACUUCUAAUGUUGCUUUUUCCUUCUGUUGUUUUCUUUUGUUUGGAUUGGGUGUGUGCGCGUUGGAUAUGAACAAAUCAACGAACAUGUAUGUGUGCUUUACGUGAUGUAUGUAAGUCUUGCAGAUUGUGGUUCUGGCAUCGGAAGGGUCACCAAGAAUCUUCUUUUGAGAUAUUUUAAUGAGGCAAGUAACUCUGCUUCGUCUUAAUCAGCACUAUUGUUUUGCUCGUUCAAUGGCAUAGUAGAGUUCAUAUGGCCUCACGUAUUCAAUAAUGACCAUCCAGCCUUAAAGGUGAAAAGCUUUCUAUUCCAUAUCAAAUUGUAGUGCUAAGCUGUCGAGAAGCCAUAAGAACUUACACUCACUGCCCAACUAACAUAAUAUGCCACAUGCUGCUGCUGCUGCUCCUGUAAGUAAAUAGAACAAAAGCACUCAAUAAAGACACAAAAAAUUGAAAUUCUACAGCCUCACAGAUUCCUCUAAAUCCUCUUUGUACAUUGUUUAUACAAACUAUGAUGGUUAUGUUCCUUUCAUAGUAAAUCACAGAUACAGACAUGCAUUUUCCAAUUGUUUGCCUUUGCAAUGAUCGAUAAACCACUCCACCCCUUGGGACAAAGGCAAAGCUUUCCUAUUUAUUCGAACACCAUUAGAGGUCUUUACUUUUUCGGUCUGCUUUGACUCCACAACUUAAUUUUUUUACUGCCAAACACUUUAUAGCUGCAAAUGUUUUCAAGCACUUUUUCACCUUUCUGUGAAUGUUCAACCUGAGAUUUUGUUCAUGCACUUUUUCUUUACCAUUUUGUCUCUGAAAGAAUCUCGUUUUCCAUGAAGCAAUUUGUCACCUGAGUUAUCAACAUAGAUAGUACAAGUGCUAGGCAUGAGAAGAAUGUUUUACAUUGUAUUUGGUUGUGUCCUAAUAGUAGACAUCUUGGAAUGGUAAUGGAAUAUUUGAUUUGGUCCAUGUAAAAAGGAACAGAUAUCUCUUACAUAUUUAGGGAAGCCAUAAGUUAAAUGGAAGUGGAACAGUGAGAAUGGAUUUUUAACUUUGUGUAUUUGUUGAUGAUUUUCUGUUCAAGGUAAGUGCUUUCUUGAAGGCCUACAUUAAUGCUUCCAGAGAGUGCUUUGUUUAAAGGAGAUGGUGCAGUUUUAUGAAUUGUCAACCACUCUUUUUCAAGCUGUUUUCAGCCACUUCAAAUCUCCCACCAUUUUAGUUUCAGUUCUACUGCUCAUUUUGGAUGUUUGUUAGAAUGUUUGAUGUCAGUAAAAGGUUCAAUUGGUUUUGACACAGGUUUGCUUUCAUGUGUGAAGGACUAGUAUGGAUGUUUGACAGUGUUCUAUUUUGAGUAACUAUUGGAAUGAGAUUUGAGAUAUAUGAGGAUUAGCACCCAAGGGAUCCCAAGACAAGGCAGAUACAUAUAAUGAAUCACGAUAUAGGCUUCUUGUCUCAAUAAUGGGUAUACAAACUAAAGGACUACGAGAUGAUGGAGAAGUUAAAUUCUGAAUUUUUUGAACUCGACUUAGUUAAGUACCAACAGUUGGUCUGAUGGGAUUUUAAGUAUGUAAAAUGUAAACAUUGAGGUACAAUAAGCAAGUGAAAAUGCACUUGCAGUCAUUCUUUGCAGCAGAUAGACAAAGAACAAAUAUAUAAAUUUAUGGUGUAUAUAUCUUAGAGAUGUCAAAUGUGGAUGGAUUUAUCUGAAUCCUAUUCUUGGCAUAUGAUAACAACUCCAGUUUUGAUACUAGUAUCUGCGCAUUGUCAUUCCUUAUAUUACUGAGCUCCGUAUCAUUCAGUUGCAGUUUGUUUAGCAGAUUCCUAAGACAAUGCUUUCACAGUAUAGAACUUUUUUAUCAUGGUUUUCUGGUUUAACAGUUAUUUCCUAGCCUGAACUUAUGCCAUUUUACCAUGACUAGUUUGAUAGCUUUGUGCAACUUUGUUGAAGGGCAUAGCAGUAAAUUUCUAGUUUGUUAGUUAAUAGUUUAUCUUAGACAUGCAUCCUACCUUAUUUUGGAUUUGGCUUGCCAUUUUAUUCAAAAAGUGUGAGAUGGCCAUGUUUCUUAAUCCAGGUUGACCUUGUUGAGCCAGUAUCACAUUUUCUUGAAGCUGCUCGUGAGAAGUUAGCUACUGAUAAAGAUAAUUCUGAUCACAAAGCUAUCAAUUUUUAUUGUGUCCCUCUACAGGUUUUGUUUUCUUUGUUGCCCAUUGAUAUUUUAUUGGUUAACCUCUAUGAUGGUAUUAAAUUGUUGUUUAAUUGAUGUUAUUGUCUGUUAAAUUAAUUUUUUUAAAUCAUGCAGGAAUUCACUCCAGAAGUUGGAAGAUAUGAUGUUAUAUGGAUCCAAUGGUGUAUAGGACAACUCACAGAUGAUGACUUUCUCUUGUUUUUCAAGAGAGCAAAGGUAAUCAAUUGUCUUAAAUGGCUUUACAGCUUUUAUGCUUUAGGCCUUGUUUUUUUUAACCUAGCUGCGUAACUUGAAAAAUAGCAAAAAACAUGAACCAGUUAACCAAAUCUUUAGCUAGAUGACGUGCAGGCUUGUGUGUGCAAACACUUUUAUACCUUACUGCAGCAUAGAUAACUCAAGAUUUUGGCUUCAUCUCAAGAUUUCGAUACAUGACAUUGAAACACACAACCGAAUCUUCUGCUAGAUGACAUGCAGUCUUGUGUGUGCCAACACUUAUGUACCUUGCUGCAAAGGGAUUUUGUGUGGCAUCAGCCAACUUCCUUGAGUUGGUCUCACUAGUAUUGAUAUUAACUGUUCUUCUUUAGGACAUGGUAACUAGUGAUGGCUGAGCUGAAAGCUUUUAAACCCAUGAUUUAAGAUUAAUUAAUUCUCCAGAUGCUAAUAUUUUUCCUUAAGAACUUAAAUUUCUUGUUCUUCAAUAAAUAUAUCUCCAUUGAUAUUUUGAAUUCUGAAGUUGCUCUUGCUUCUGCAUAUACUUCUUGAGUUUAUAAGUUAAUGUAGUCUGGAUUGUAGCCAGUUCACAGAAAUUCAUUAUGUUUGUAAAGUUCUUAUUAAAUAAUUUCUCAUCCUUAUCCUAUCUUGUGUGCCAUGUUCCAUCUAUGUUAUUUGUAUUAUUUCUUUGAGUUUUUCUCCUUGUGUGUAUUGGAGAUAAAUCUAUAAUCUCCUUUCUGUUCAUUAUGUCAGUCUUUUUAGUGAGGAGCAAUACGUUGCCUUUCAAAUUCCUUACAUGGCACAUCUACACAUUUUUUAGUAAAGAACAAUAUGUUGCCUUUCUAUGGUUAGAGCUUGCAGUCCACGCAAGUCAGUCAGGAUUGGUUGGGUUUGUUUUGGGCUCAUUAAAAACUACUGGAGCAUACUAUAUCAAAAGGGCAAACUUUGUACAUAUCCCAUGUGUGAUUUGGAUAGAGUAAACAUAUACAAUCUUACCUCUGAUAUAGAGAGGUUGCUUUCUGACUUGAACUCUGGUAGUAAGAGCAACUGGUGCUAUAGUGAAAAUGAUUAUGAAUGAGGGCUGUUGGGGAAGAAACCCCAUGGUCCUUUGGUGUAAUAUAGUCAACUAUGAGUAACAAAGCUGAAAUUAACCUAUAUCACCGGUAACAGGUAAUUUCAUACCAAUAAACCCUCAACCACAAAUUAAACAAGAGGAAAAGUGUUUCUUCCUUAAUUAUUAGCUUUAUAAUUAUUUUGCAAACAAAAAACUUGUCCAGUAUACUAUGGGAUGCAUUUCGUACUUGUUGGAGCUAUUAAUGUUUUAGUCAUGAUGCUGCCACCUCUGUGUUACUAAUGAACAUCUAAUUUGCAGGUUGGCCUUAAACCAAAUGGAUUUUUUGUAGUGAAGGAGAACACUGCAAGAAGUGGUUGGUCCCUACAAACGACUACUAUUUGUAGAUUUACAGUAAAUUUUUUCACACUUGUUCAUAACUCCAUACAAACGCGUGGAUAUGAAAAGUUUUAUGUCAGGAAUAAAUUUACAUGUUUUUCUCUGUUCUCGAGUGUUUGAUUGAUGGCCAAGGAGCACAUUGUAUCAACACAAGGAAGUUUCUUGCUUUUGAUUGUUUCUUGAUUGCAUCAGGCAUUAUGAUUGUUAAAACCAGUGAAAAUAUUGUUUACAAGUUUCUCUAGUUGGGAGUUGUAAAUCUAUUAAUUUAUAUUUCUAGAUGCAUGUUCUGUGCUUAUCAUUAAUUUUGAAAAUUGGAUAUGGUUGUUGAGAUGUUAAAGGGACUUCAUAAUUAUGUUUGGUUAUCAGGGAUUAUUAUAAACAUUUCUUGCAUGCCUAGCUAGCUAUUUUUUAACUAAAGUUUGCCAUUGUGAUGGCUUGCCUUUAUAACGAACCUGCUUUUCAGGCAGGGAAUGCUACCUGAAAGUUUGUUGGAUUUAUCCAACAAAUUGAAUCAGGAUCUGCCAAAUAAUUAAAGGCAAAUUCUAUUAUCAUUUGGAUCAAAGUUUAUAAGCUGAAUAAUACCCUAUUUUACCAAAGUUUAUAUUCAUAAACUGACUCUUUAUUUUCAAGAAGUAUGGAUCUGAAGAUGAGGCUAAGGUGGCUCUAUUGCCAGAAAAUAUUCUGUUAGGCAUACUUGCAAUGAUUAGAUUGAAUCGUUGGCUUCCACCAAAGCAAAUAAUCUAGAAUGGAACUAGGUUUCGCAGUUGACUUUUUUUUUAAUUAACCAUAGUAUUUGGUUAACGUACAUCAUCCCUCAUCUGUUCAGGAUUUGUGUUAGAUAAGGAGGACAACAGCAUCACAAGAUCUGAUUCAUACUUUAAAGAGCUUUUCAAGCAGUGUGGACUUCAUCUUUAUCGCACAAAGGUUUGCUGCAUCUUUUUUACUUCAAGAUGAUGAGCUGUCAAAACCUACGAGAAAUCUUUCUUGUGCAAGAACUGAUAGGUAAUGUAGUGUUUGAUUACUUGGUUUUUGGUUUCAGGAUCAGAAGGGAUUUCCUGAAGAGUUAUUUCCCGUUAAGAUGUAUGCGCUGGUAACUGAUAGGCGACAAGGUUCCAACAAUGGCAGAGGCAAGACUCGACAACACAAGCCUGCUGUCAUCAAGUCAUGAAAUCUCUCGAGGACCCGUCACCAAUACCUGGAUGCGAUCUUGCUCGUUUUUCUUUAGUUUUUGUCGUCUCUAAGAGAAUGGAUUACCUUUUCAUGUGUUGUCAUGUUGUAGAACAUCAUGGUUAUCAUCUCUAUCUUCUCACCAUGAUUUGUACUAAUACAAAAGAAGGCAUAAAGAACAUAGGGAAUUCAAGCCCAGACUAUGACACCACUUCAGUCAUUUGGUUGGAUUUUACAGUGCAUCUUCAUCACGUUUGAACCAUUUAUGUUAUUUGCUUGCAAUAUUGAAAGUUGGAACUCAGUUAGGAAGGUGCAAUACCAUAAUUGUUUAGUUUUAGGUUUGUGUAUGGUUUACGAUUUCGUAUCUCGGUGGUGUAUCAGAUUCAUAGUCAUAUUAUAUCGAGCUACUCAUGUACUAAUUGUCAAUUGAAAUUAAUCUUAAAAAAUAAAAAAAUAAAUCAUCUGGUAUGGAAAUUGUGUUGGGUGGCACAAAACUUUGAUAAAAAGUUGAAAACAAGGAAAUAUAUGUUUUUCAUAAGACUUGUACAAAACAUACUAUAGGAUUGAUAAACCCAAUUCAUAUUUUGAUCGACAGAGUGAGAAUUCUUUUACAUAAUUGAAUUCAAUAUGGUUUGAAUCCUUUCAAAUAAAAACACACUUUGGUUCUUUUUUAAGAAGUGUCAAAUCAACAUAAAUGGUUUGGCCGUUCUCCUGCUUCAUAUCCUUUCAAUGUGGAACCUUUGCAUUCUAGAGAGAGACAGCGUCCUAAUAUUUCCAUCAUGCGUGGAAGAAACACCUCUUUUCUAUCUAUUCUCUAUCUUAUGUCAAACUGCAUUAUCUUCGGCAUUAUAUUAUUCAAUCUUCUGGCGUCUUUUACAAACUCACGUUAUCUUUUCCAUGACGUCUUUGAUUUUUCUGCCAUAUGAUUUAAAGCUCGCUUUGACGACUGCUCUCUUCUCCCCCUUACAAAUUCCCCACCUCCCCCCCUCGGAUCUGCACAACACAGAGCACGAAGCCUAAGACUCGCAGUUAGAUGGCUUCGUCCAGCAUUCUCUCCCUCUCCUUCUUCUUCUUCUUCUUCUUCUCCCUUCUUGUCACCCUCUCCCAUGCCGCCACCUUCGAGAUCGUGAACCGAUGCUCUUACACAGUGUGGGCCGCGGCCGUGCCUGGCGGCGGACGCCAGCUCAACCAGGGGCAGUCGUGGACCAUCAACGUGAACGCGGGAACCACCGGCGGCCGCAUCUGGGGCCGCACCGGCUGCUCCUUCGACGGGAGCGGACGCGGGCGGUGCCAGACGGGCGACUGCGGCGGCGUGCUGUCAUGCACGGCGUACGGCAGCCCGCCCAACACCCUGGCGGAGUUCGCGCUCAACCAGUUCAACAACCUCGACUUCUUCGACAUCUCCCUGGUCGACGGCUUCAACGUGCCAAUGGACUUCAGCCCCACGUCAGGCGGCUGCCGCGGCAUCCGGUGCGCGGCGGACAUCAACGGGCAGUGCCCCGGGGCGCUGAAGGCGCCGGGCGGCUGCAACAACCCCUGCACCGUGUUCAAGACGGACCAGUACUGUUGCAACUCCGGCAGCUGCAGCCCGACCGACUACUCCCGGUUCUUCAAGAGAAACUGCCCCGACGCCUACAGCUAUCCCAAGGACGAUCAGACGAGCACCUUCACCUGCCCCGGCGGCACCAACUACAGGGUUGUCUUCUGCCCUUGAGAUCACUGACGCCACUAAUAAGCCGCCCUCGUGCAGGCAACCACGCAUAUAGAUAUAUAUACUAGUCUCCUACAAUACAAAUAAGAUGUCAAGAGUGAUGGAAGGUAUUAGCCUUCUCUUGGGCUAAUACUGUUGACUGAUGUAAUAGAAGUGGUGCAACCAACUAAUAAGAUGCAUAAUAUCAUCACAGCAUGAGUGCUUUUCCAUUGAUGUUUGAAUCAUUUUGUGAGAGCAAUCAGCUUAUGCAAUCAGCAAAAAGAAUAAUUAAACCAUUUCUAUUUAUGUCUUGUUGGCUUAAAACAUGAAUUGAUUUUGAAACAUAAUGAACCCUACAUAUAUAACUUCAUAAAAGAUAUCUCAAGGACCAUACAUUAUACAUACAUAUAUACAUAUAUAUACAUAUAUAUACACAUAUAUAUAUACAUAUAUAUACACAUAUAUAUACAUAUAUAUAUAUAUACAUAUACAUAUAUAUAUAUAUAUNNNNNNNNNNNNNNNNNNNNUAUGUAUAUAUAUAUAUGUAUAUAUAUAUAUAUCAUUUAGGAUGAUGAGUCAUCGCCUAUCCAAUUUGGACCUCUGCCAUUCUCCGUAGAAACUUUGCGUAGCCAUUUUCCAAUACAAUUGCGCGUUGACCAGAGUGCGUCCAUGUGAUCCUCCCCGGUAAGUUUGGUGCCCGAAAUUAUCCGGCAAGUAUGGCUUUAAAUAUUGGAAUUAGUUGCUCUUUGUUUUACGUAGGCCGAUCAAGAUGAACAGAGAGAAUGAUGCUGACUAAUUGAGCCCUGACCAAUCGAGGGCUUCAGGACUCGAGCCCCGACGCGCCCUCGGGAAGCUGCCGCGGGAGGCGGACAUCGAUGGGCAGUGCCCGCAGGUGUUGAGGGCGCCGCGGCGGGUGCACCGCUCGACCGUGUCCAAGGCGGACCGGUACUGCUGCAGCUCCUGCAACUGUGCGUCAAGCGGCUACUUCAGCUUCUUGAGGAGGAACUGCACCGAUGGCUAUAUCUUCCCACAACCUUACGGCCUGGCUUCCACCACUAGUUUCUACGGUAGUCUUCCUCCUCCAAGAGUCGAAUUCAGCUUCCUACAAGAUUAUAAUGAUGGUUUGUAUCAAUUAGUUGUUAAAUUGUAUUUUGGAACCUAAUACAUAUUUUAAAUAUAAAUUCAUAUUUAAAGUUUCUUUAACAUCACAUUUGUCAUGAAUAUAGUGUCAGUAAAUGCUUAAAUUCUGAAACUAUCUUAGAAUAAUUAUAACAUCUCGAGUAAUCUCACAUAAAAAAUGAAUAAGAUUAAAAUUAACUUAUGAUAGUAUAUUACUAUCAAUAUUAAUUUGAAUAUUUUGAUUGCUUGGAUUCAAGAAAAUUGAUAAGUCAAUUAGUUAAUCAAUUGUGACAUUCGAUAUCAAAUUAGUAUUAGGAUAUAGUAUAAUCAAAUUACUAUUAGCGUAUCGUGAGUGAGCUUCGUACUCGUUCAUUGUGAAGUCAUCUUGGGCUAUGUCUUACAUGCCGCGCUAUAUUGAGUCUUUGACAAUGAUUAAUUUUUUUUUUAUAGUUCACACAUAAAAAUAGAUUUUGAACUAUUUAAUUUUAAAAAUCAUAUUAUUUAUUAUAAAAUAUAUUUAUUAAAAUUUAAUUAACUAAUAAAAUUAUUAACUUAUUCACAUAAUUAAGAAAAUCAAUUUUAAUCAUUUUCUUAGCCAUACUAUACAAACAAAAUCACAAUGUAUAUAUUUUUCUUAAAUUUUUAUCUUAAAUGCAUGUUGCUAAUUAUAAUACUUGAUUUAUAUUUAGAUUUAUAUGAUAGUUGAUUAAAAAUAUUAUUUCUUCUCUUAUGUAAUUUUAUCUUUUUAAUAAUCUAUUGUUUAUUAUAUUUUAAUGACUCAAUGCUUGGGAUUAGAUGUUUUUUACUAUAAUUUCAUAAUGCUAUAAUUUAGAAUUGAAGAAAUUGAUUAGGAUUUGGGUUAUAUCUCACACGUACAAUCUUAGAGUUUGAGUUGGGUUUUAAUAAGGAUCAUUUAUUUUUUAUAUAAUAUUUAUUUCCUAUGAUUCACACAUAAAAAUAAAAUUUAAAUUAUUUACUUUCUAAAAAUUGCAUCACUCGUUGAGAAACGAAUCAAUUAAUAAUUUAAUUAAUUUAGUAAUCAUAUUACAUAAAUAAAAUCAUAAUGUGUAGUAUUUUAAAAUUUUUUAUCUUACAUGCAUGAUGCACGAUGAUAAUUAUAAUCCUUGGUUUCUAUUAUAUUUAUAUAGUAAUUUAUUAAAAAUAUUAUUUUCUCACUAAUGUAAUUUUAUUUUAAAAUUUAUUACUAUUUAUUAUGUUUUUAAUGACUCAAUACUAAUGAUCAGAUAUUCUAAUUAGUAGUCAUAUUAGUAAUCAUUAAGAAAUUUAAUUUAAAUUAUUUCAGUAAUAAUAUUACAUAAAUAAAAUCAUAAUGUGUAGUAUUUUUAAAAUUGUUAUCUUACAUGCAUGAUGCAUGAUGAUAAUUAUAAUACUUGGUUUCUAUUAGAUUUAUAUAAUAAUUUAUUAAAAUAUUAUUUUCUCACUUAUGUAAUUUUAGUUUUAAAAUUUAUUACUAUUUAUUAUGUUUUUAGUGACUCAAUACUAAUGAUCAGAUAUUCUAAUUAUAUUUUUUAUAUUUUAAAAUUAAGAGAAUUGAUUAAGAUUUAAGUUGAAAUCAACAAACAAUUAGAGCUAACCCAUAGGCUAGCCACAACUCGUAGAUUAAGCUCAGCAAGCAAGUCAACCCAUAGCCUAUAGGACUCCAAUAUGAUCAGUUAUGUAAUGUACAGACCAAGUCAGAUUUCAUAAACUUAGAUAGAUUCAAGGUAAUUCUAAACUUAUUUAGUCUAUUCAUGUCUAUCUAAUCUAAAUCGAACUCAAUCUAGUCCAAAGUAUACAAGUCUAAGAUGAUUCUAGACUGAUUAAAUGAGAAUUAAAAAUCGAUUUUAUUAUACUAGAGUUAAAUCGAGUUCAAUUGAUUUUAAUUAAACUCGUUUAGAUCGAUUAAGUUCUAGUUAAAUCAGGUUCAAUUAGACCGAUUGAGUUAAGUUAGAUAAAACCUAGGGAUAUGAGUUAUAAAUAAUAUUCAUCAAAUUUCUUCAAUCUAAUUUAUGCUAAAAUAGUUCAAUAAUAAAAAAUAAUAACUGCAAUAAUUAUUGAAUGUUAAUCAGUAUAAUGAAAAAUUCAUAUAAUAACUAUAAUUAUGAUAAGUCAUGAAUUAUAUUUUUAUAUAAUUUUCAAACAUAUUAUAUAAAUAAUCAAAUAAAUAUCCAAGAAAAAUAAUUAGAUUUUUAUUUAUCACAUGCAAAAUUUUAUCAAUAUGACAAAUAAGAAAAUUAUUAAAGAAAAAUCAUAAUUUAUAUUUUUAAAAUUUUGUAUGAACCCUUAUACCAAUCAACCCUAUUUAAUUAGGUAAGCCCAUAAUUGGACUACCUAAAUUGGGCUAACAAUUUGCCUAAUUAGACCCAUUAAGAUUAAAGUUGAUCAAAAUAAAAAAAAGAUCAAAAAUAACUUUUUUUUAAUUUGAUCAAAAACUUAAUUGGUCGAAUUUAAAUCCAACCAAAUAGUUAAAAUAUAGUAAUGAUUAAGCUCGUUUAAAAGAUUUGAUUAAAAUAAAUCAAAUUAAUAAAUUUUAUAAUUGAGGGCAUAUCUCAAAAUAUUUUAAUUCAAAAGGGUAAAACUAUAAUUUUACUGGGAUAUGUAGAGAAAAUAUCUAAUUUCUGAAGAAUAUAAUUAUCAAAAGGACACAAGUUGAAAUUAAAAGACUUUAUAAGAAUAAAUUUAUAAUUUUAAAAAUAAAUCCUAAUCUUUCACCCAGAAAGGCUCUCUCGCAUUUGUCAUUGGUUCCACCAUGCCCACACGCAAAAGUCAACACCGCAGUGUUCGCCCACCACCUGCAUGGACAACGAGGCAGUUGUCCUUAUGCAUUCAAACGAUAACCUCAUCGGUCGUCGCGUUGUGCCAUGCUCAUGAGUGGCUAUUAUCAUCGUGCGCUUGACUAUAACACUUCAAAAACAAUAUGUAUGUCACUGACCGGAAGCUAUCGCGUAGUUACGCACACAUGCCGAUCGAUAACCCCCAGAAUCACUUUGAUGUGUGACUGUGCUCGCUUGUCUUGCUACAUAGUCGUUGGGAACAAUGGCUUUCAGUGUCCAAUCGAUGUUGACCAUGGCCAACAAGCACUACCACAGUGGUAUUACUGUAACCAUUGUACGUAGUGAAGCUAUAUAGCCACUAUAGGUGCAUGCGCACAUAGUGGCACUGUUACAAUCAUCGCACUUAGUAUUAUACCCCAUGGUGCUUCCAUUAGGUACGCAAUUGCUACUCGCGAUUGAACUAAUGACAAUCAAAAGUUGUCGCUCUUAACCAUAUUGUUAUCGACAAUAAGCUAGUCACAGUGAUCCAUUGAUCAAGUACGAGAAAAUUCAUAUCUCCCACAAAUAGGUGAUAAGAUCGAUUAAAUAGAAAAAUAGAUCAAUAAUAUAUAUGAAUCAUUCAUACAUCGUAAAUAAAAAAUUGAAUAACACUUUUUCAUAAGCCAAAGAUGCUAACAAAUAUAUCUAAAAUAAUUUAUUUUACAAACAUGACUCUGAUAUCAAUUGUAAGUAUAAAAACCAUCCUUAUGCUAUUGUUAUGCAGAAAACUUUAACACCAAAAUCUAAAAUCAAAUAAUAAUAGAUAAGAUUCAUGAUACGUACAUUUUGAUGCUAGUUAAAAAAGCUCUUAUAUGAUCUAUAGGUACACCAUCGUUGGAUCUGAAAGUUAUAGUAAUAUCGAUCUAUAAGAAGAAUUAGACUCAUCGUUUUCUCAUUUUCUAUCCUUUAUAGGACCACUACAAUGGAUUUAGAGACUAAGGGGAGAUGAGAGAAGAUUUAUAAUUUCUCACUGACUUAUUCACAAAAAUUUAUAAUUUUUUAAUAAUAUUUUGUAAACACGUAUCGUUUUUAUCUUCUUAUAGUAUUUCUAGGUGAGAAUAGAAAAUCUAUGAUAAGUAAUGAAUAGGGUCUUUCUAAUCAAAAUCUAUCUCUUAACGAAUUUUAUGAUAAUUUAAUUUUUUAUCAAUCUAUAAUCAUAAUUAAAAUUUAAUCAUAUCUAUAAUAUAUCUUAAAUAAAUAAUUAGUGAUAUAUAAUCUGACACCUCUCUCUUCUCUCCCUUAUAAAUUCCCCACCUCUCCACCCCUCGGAUCUGCACAACACAGAGCACGAAGCCUAAGACUCGCCGUUAGAUGGCUUCGUCAAGCAUUCUCUCCCUCUCCUUCUUCUCCCUUCUUGUCACCCUCUCCCAUGCCGCCAACUUCGAGAUCGUGAACCGAUGCUCUUACACAGUGUGGGCCGCGGCCGUGCCCGGCGGCGGACGCCAGCUCAACCAGGGGCAGUCGUGGACCAUCAACGUGAAAGCGGGAACGACCGGCGGCCGCAUCUGGGGCCGCACAGGCUGCUCCUUCGACGGGAGCGGCCACGGGCGGUGCCAGACGGGCGACUGCGGCGGGUUGCUGGCGUGCACGGCGUACGGUAGCCCGCCCAACACCCUGGCGGAGUUCGCGCUCAACCAGUACAGCAACCAAGACUACGUGGACAUCUCCCUGGUCGACGGCUUCAACGUGCCUAUGGACUUCAGCCCCACGUCGGGCGGCUGCCGCGGCAUGCGGUGCACGGCGGACAUCAACAAGAAGUGCCCCACGGCACUGAAGGCGCCGGGCGGCUGCAACAACCCCUGCACCGUGUUCAAGACGGACCAGUACUGCUGCAACUCCGGCAGCUGCCAGCCGACCGAGUACUCCAAGUUCUUCAAGAGCAACUGCCCCGACGCCUACAGCUAUCCGAAGGACGAUCCGACGAGCCUCGUCGCCUGCCCCGGCGGCACCAACUACAGGGUUGUCUUCUGCCCUUGAGAUCAC
rnacentral:lncRNA from 1 species